GAUGAACGCUAGCUACAGGCUUAACACAUGCAAGUCGCGGGGCAGCAUGGGGGUUGCUUGCAACUCCCGAUGGCGACCGGCGCACGGGUGAGUAACGCGUAUCCAACCUGCCCUUCACCACGGGAUAACCCGGCGAAAGUCGGACUAAUACCGUAUGUUGUCCAUUGACGGCAUCCGAUUUGGACGAAAGGCUUUGCGGUGAAGGAUGGGGAUGCGUCCGAUUAGCCAGACGGCGGGGUAACGGCCCACCGUGGCUACGAUCGGUAGGGGUUCUGAGAGGAAGGUCCCCCACACUGGAACUGAGACACGGUCCAGACUCCUACGGGAGGCAGCAGUGAGGAAUAUUGGUCAAUGGGCGUAAGCCUGAACCAGCCAAGUAGCGUGCAGGAUGACGGCCCUAUGGGUGGUAAACUGCUUUUAUGCGGGGAUAAAGUGGCCCACGGGUGGGCUUUUGCAGGUACCGCAUGAAUAAGGACCGGCUAAUUCCGUG
rnacentral:rRNA from 1 species